ensembl:lncRNA
AUGGUGCAGCCAACUCUCUGCUGUCCAACUUUCGGGAUUUACAGCCUCUCAGUUCUAAAGGCAACUGAAGUAUUUUCUGCAUUCAGGCUGGGACAGGAGACAUUUUCAGAUAAAUUACCUCUUACUACACUCUGGAGACAUCGUUCAUGCUGCUUCAUCGGAACUUGCAAGGAGAGGCUAUUUGGCAGAUUCUUAAAGUGGACAGAAAAGGAAAUUGAAAGCGUUUUUCCUAAUAUAGUAGUCAUUGAGAUAAAAGGAAUAUAUACUCUAAGAAGCAACGACCUUUCCAAAAUCACAUCCCUGAGAGACGUGAGCAGCACAGAGAGGAUUCCACGAAAACAGUAUACUUCCCCUCCCUUGGCUUCUGCUUCAGUUGCUUCUUUUGGCCAGUGGGAUAUGCAGUGGAGGCUUGGCGCGCCACCUCAUCUCCUGCUUUUUGCCACAAGAGCCUGCCUCACGUAGACGCUGGUUCAAGGAGGAGAGACACAUGCAGCAGGUCUGGACGCAACCCACAGCCUGGAGCCUAGCUAAUCUGUUCUCCAGCUUCCCUGUGGAUACACGAGUAGGAGCAGAUGUUUACUCUUGUCUGCCACGGAGAUUUCAGUGGUUCGUGAUGCAGUAUCAUUGUGGCAAUAGCCCACGGAAACACAUCUGCCUCAGAACCAAAUGAGUGCACCACAGCUAUGUUUAAAUGGAUAACCAACAAGGAACCACUGUACAGCACAGGGAACUCUGCUCAGGGUGAUGUGCCAGCCUGGAUGGGAGGGGAGGUUGGAGGAGAAUGGAUAGAUGUACAUGCACGGCUGAGUCCCUUCACUGUUCACCUGAGACCAUCACAACAUUGUCAAUCAGCUACAGCCCAAUACAAAAUAGAAAGUUUAAAAAUAAAGAAAUAAAUAAAAUGAGAACA